rnacentral:lncRNA from 1 species
AUGUGAUUAGACGUUGGGAUAGUGCUUGCCCCUGAGGGGUGCGGCUGGAUGGAGGCAUGAGAGGCCUGGAGAGCAUGGUCUAAUAAACAGAGAAGGCUCAGGAGGGUCAGAAACACGGUGCCUCAUUUCUCAGCCUACUUGCCAAGAAUUCCCAAAAAGGAAGCACUGGAGGAUCAUUCCAAGGCUUGAGGUCCAGGACUACCCACUUCCCUUGGAAUGGUGUUGCCAUCACUGUUCUGGCACCGGAGGUAAGGAUUCUACAUCGUUAGGAGAAAAGAAAAAGGAGAAUUUGGGCUUGCACUGAGAGGAUUACCUUUGGUGGUCUGGAAGUGGUGGUUCCUUGACUUUGGCCUUCAGUCCUGACUUAAUUUCUUUGCUUAUGGGUAAAACAAGGAAUUCCUGUCACACUGCCAACAUCACCCCCUUUCUUCUCACCCCAAGGAGAGUGCAGAGAGGAGGCGAGACCAAGCCUGCCCAGAGUUGGAGUCUUGAGACGUGAGAUUCUCCAGCUGGAGCCCUAUAAAUUGGACUGACAAAAGACAGAUUAGCAAGAGAAAUGCAAGCAGCAGUUUAUUAACAUGUGCAUCAUGAUUACACAUGGAAGUACCCAGAGGUCAUAAGACCUCAUGUGACAAGUGCCCUCCUUACUCCCAGAGAAAAGGAAGGAAGACACAGAAACACCACGAAGAAUAUGGACAAACAGACCUUGCUAAGUUCCCCCCCAUUUAUUACCAUGACAUCAUACUCCCUUUGUCCAAUCACACUUUCAUCAAACCUGAGCAUGAAAAUACACAGGUUUCUCUGUUUGGGGGGUGGGUCUUCAUUUUUGAAGUUUCCAUGUCAUGUAAAACUUAUAUUAAAGAAAUGUGUAUGUUUUACCCUUGUUAAUUU